UACGUAGGGUGCGAGCGUUGUCCGGAAUUAUUGGGCGUAAAGAGCUCGUAGGCGGUUUGUUGCGUCGGCCGUGAAAACCUGCAGCUUAACUGUGGGCCUGCGGCCGAUACGGGCAGACUUGAGUUCGGUAGGGGAGACUGGAAUUCCUGGUGUAGCGGUGAAAUGCGCAGAUAUCAGGAGGAACACCUGCGGCGAAGGCGGGUUGCUGGGCCGACACUGACGCUGAGGCGCGAAAGCUAGGGGAGCGAACGGG
rnacentral:rRNA from 1 species